AUUCGGCAUGAUAACUAGAUGACGGUUCCGAUUCCUACGACCAUAGUCCUUUAAGUUGCCGAUAUAUUAUCAUGCGAGGAUCUUACACGUUUCAUGUUAUUUCCAUUAACUAUGCGACUUUUAAAUUUUCGCGAUAUAC
rfam:Pseudogymnoascus pannorum VKM F-103 contig_1301, whole genome shotgun sequence.